rnacentral:lncRNA from 1 species
AGGAAAUCUUCAUAACCUCAGGAAGUUCUCCUGUGCCUCUUUGCAGUCACUUCCUCUCCGUGUCUUCCUCCCACCCCCGCCAUCUGAGGCAACCACAACUGGAAUUUCUAUCAUAUUGUGUUAAAUUACUACUUCUAGAAAUUCAUGUAAAUGAAAUCAACCAGAAUGUGAUGUUUUCAGAUAUAUGAUCUCUGGUUGUUUUGUGAUCCCAGGAUCUACUGAGAUGUAUAGCAUAAGAAGUUAUACACAUCCUGGAUUUUGGGUGAUAAAAGUACUUCUUCCAUGAAAUUGCUGGGGGUUAAGUGAGAUAACAAAAGAAGAAAAACAGGUCCUCACUGCCCUAUAGGACAAACCAGAACACGACGGCCAGGAUUCAGCUCCUAACCAAUCAAAUAGAGGAUUCAAAAAUACCCAAUCAAGAGGAGGAUUGAAAAACAGACUCUUCUGAAUGGACAAAGGGAGAAUAUGGGAGGGAACAACAUGGGAAUAUAAGUCAGACUAGCAACGGCACCCUCUUCCGGGUCCCCUUCCACCACGUGGAAGCUUUACUUUUGGUUUGCUCAAUAAACUGCGCUGCUGCACACUCUUCUGGCCUGUGAAUUUCUUUGAGCUGUAACACUCACUGCGGGACCGUGGCCCACUAUUCCAUUCUUCGGAGUCAGCAAGGCCAAGAACCUAAGCUCAACUCCAGUUACACAAGCAGGUAAUUAAACCGGCCCAGCAGAGUAGGUGACAUUAGAAACAGUGGAAAGCAAGUAGAUUCCA